AUUGAACGCUGGCGGCAGGCCUAACACAUGCAAGUCGGACGGUAGCACAGAGGAGCUUGCUCCUCGGGUGACGAGUGGCGGACGGGUGAGUAAUGUCUGGGGAUCUGCCCGAUAGAGGGGGAUAACCACUGGAAACGGUGGCUAAUACCGCAUAACGUCGCAAGACCAAAGAGGGGGACCUUCGGGCCUCUCACUAUCGGAUGAACCCAGAUGGGAUUAGCUAGUAGGCGGGGUAACGGCCCACCUAGGCGACGAUCCCUAGCUGGGCUGAGAGGAUGACCAGCCACACUGGAACUGAGACACGGUCCAGACUCCUACGGGAGGCAGCAGUGGGGAAUAUUGCACAAUGGGCGCAAGCCUGAUGCAGCCAUGCCGCGUGUAUGAAGAAGGCCUUCGGGUUGUAAAGUACUUUCAGCGGGAGGAAGGCGAUGUGGUUAAUAACCGCAUUGAUUGACGUUACCCGCAGAAGAAGCACCGGCUAACUCCGUGCCAGCCGCCGCUGUAA
rnacentral:rRNA from 1 species